GGACGAACGCUGGCGGCGUGCUUAACACAUGCAAGUCGAGCGGUAAGGCCCUUUCGGGGGGUACACGAGCGGCGAACGGGUGAGUAACACGUGGGUGACCCGCCUCAGCUCUGGGAGUAAGCCUGGGAAACCGGGGUCUAAUACCGGAUAUGACUCCAUGACGCAUGUUGGUGGGGUGGAAAGCCUUGUGCGGCUGAGGAUGGGCCCGCGGCC
rnacentral:rRNA from 1 species